AGUGAACGUUGGCGGCGUGGAUUAGGCAUGCAAGUCGAGCGAUUUCGCAAGAAAUAGCGGCAAACGGGUGAGGAACACGUAAGUAAUCUUCCCCUUAUCCAGAAAUAGUCCUAAGAGAUUAGGAGUAAUGUCUGAUGGUAUGAUUAAGUUGCAUAACUUGAUCAUUAAAGUUGGGGACCGCAAGGCCUAACGAUGAGGGAUGAGCUUGCGUAGCAUCAGCAGUUGGUAGG
rnacentral:rRNA from 1 species